UUUGUGAAAUUUUUAAAGGAUGAUUUAAUCAUGUUAGCACGAUUAAUCAUAUUAUAUGGAGGUUAAAUUAUUAAAUAUGUUAAAUAUAGUAUUUGGAUUCUUCUGAAAUUUUCUGGGUUUUUUUUUUUUAUAUAUGAUUCAGAUUUUUAGAAUUCCUUUUAUAUAAUUUUUGGUAAUUAUAUAAGUCUGUUAUAUAAUGUUUGGGCUGUUUAUAAAUACUAGAGCUUACAAUUGCAUCGGCGCACAAAGGGGAUUGGAUUCUGUGCGGCGCGGCAUAAUGCAAUUCAGUGCACUCACAUUAGGACCAUAGAAUGGUUCUGAUAGAUCAGCGAAUAAUCCUAUCUGGACGUGUACAUAGGAAGAGGGUGUACUCGCUAAUAUGGGUCGUAGGUGGAGUUGAUGGAUGGUGGGCUAACUGGGUGUGGUGCGGCGCAUGGAAAUCUGGUGUGCUUGGGCAUCUGGACUGUUAAUGCGGUUUGGUCAACGGAUGAGUAAUCUGGCGCGGCGCUGCGCACCAGAUCACGGAGUGCUAACGAAUGAGGAGAAGCCAGCACAGUAGAGGGACAUAUCAGGCGCGUGCAGACGGGUGCAUGCGUGUGAGAGCGCUUGGACGCGCUUGCUAGCCAGUGGAAGCUCGUGAGAUGUGCAAUAUUCUAGCAGUUGUUGAGAACGUCCACUUCCCUAUUCCCUUCCACCAGACAGAACUUAAUGCAAAGUGUGAAUCCCCUCCUUGAUGCAUCUAAGUCAUCCUGGAAUCCCCACUAUUCAUAUGAAACUGAUAUCCUACCAGUCCAAAAUAACCAAAAUUAAGCUGAUUUAAAAUAAAACCGAACCAAUAUCCCAACCAAAAUCCUGACCUUUUGUAAAAGUCAGCAACCCCUCAUCUAAAUCCGUGACAAGUAUCUAUCAUCUCCUCCUGAACAUAAAAAUGUCUAAAAGGAUUUUCAAAUGGUCCAACUCGAUCAUAUUAGAGAUGGUGUCAAAAUCACUACGUCCCUCUAUUUACCGAUUCCCCAAACCUCAGCUUCAUAUCGUGAAGCGUUUUGUUUUCCACCAGGAUGAAUAAAGAACAAAAAGUUGUGAAUCUCAGUCUUUACAUCCUUCGUCCCAUUUGCCUACAGGAAAUAUCAACUGGUCUGGUACCACUAGCUUUUGUUUAUACCCAUUGCUUACAUUGGAGCAUCCUCAAAAGCUAACCCUGCAACUGUAGCUACGCAUUACCAGUUAGUGAUAAGCAUACCGAUAACAAAAUCAACCGGUAAUUCCAUUCAGGGAAAGUCAAUUCACUAUGACUGUCCACACACACUGUGCACCGCUUCCUUAUAUGGACAUUCGGUCUCUCCUUCCUGUCAUUAACACAUCAUAUUUCUCUAAUAUAGGUAAGUGUUAAACUGACUCCUUGGCUCGUUUCAAAUGUAUAUGAAACUUUUCCAUCCUCCAUAAAGGCAUCAAUAUCGGAGCAACAGCUAAUUGUUGCGAAAGAUAACCUUAAAAACAAGAUUUUAUCAGCCCACUAUCCUCUCUCGGCGUCAUUCUAAUAAGUACCUACCAGUACAAAAUCCUCCGUCUGAACCAUAGUGGCAUUACAGUGAUCUUUACCUACCACAACCUCACGAAUCCCCAAGACACUAACAACCACCAUUAUUAUAGCGUUAUAAAAACGAAUCCCCACCUAGCAUUGAGCAUAUCAAACUAAUCCUUUUUGAUUAUUUGACUCGUUUUGAUAGUUUAAUUAUCCCAUCCUAACUAGCAUACCAUAUUGAUGCAUAUCCAGAUCCAUUAGAUUGGCUAGAAGUUUGAAUUUCUACCUAAUCUUAUGACCAUACUUUCAUAAAUCCUAGCGUACGUAGCGCUAUUAUCCAUGUCAUCAACAUAAUAGUUGGUUGAUCACAUACUUGUGUUCCCAACCAAUCCAUACUCCUAAUCCGAACUAAUUAACAAAAAUGAAACGCGUAAUAACAAAACUGAAACACAUGACAAUCAAAGAUGAAACAUGUAGUACACACAAUACACAAAACAACCAAAAUAUAACUCCACUUAAGACAUAUUCCAUUCCAGAGAAGAAAACCUCCUUUAAACUCAAGUUUGCAAAAGUUCAUUCCAUAGUUUCGUUGGUAAUUAUCCAACCUUGAAACUUAUCCAUUAACCGUAGCUUAACUACACAAUCGUUUGCUUAAACAAAUAUCCAAAGGUUUAACCCUCAUCCUCCUAAUAUACGGAAUGUAAACCGUCUAUCAUGGCUUUACAAACCAACUUAGAAUGUCACAACCUAAUCCCCAUACUCUCCGGAAUGUGAUAUAAAAUCACGUCUUUGUUUUGGUAAGAACUCCAUCCGAUUCCCAAACUCCUAAAGAGUACUUCGUAAAUAACUCCCGGAGAGAUGUUACGAAACGUUAACUAUAUGUAGAUUGGUUCACACCAACUCCACUAGUACCAUUCACUAUACCAUUGGUGAAUGUGAGUACCCUCGUGCGAUCCUUUAUCUUUAAGCUUUAAUAUCCCCUUUCUUGGAGACGCUGAUAACUCCUCCCUUAGGAUCCUCUUCAGAAUCCUACUCUUCGCUUACCUCAUUUUUUAGAACAACUGAAGUUGUGUUGGUCCCGAUAAGCGGUGACCUAACACCUAUACCUUAAUCCUUCCUUGGCGUAUACUUUCUAAGUAAUACCAACCUUGGAACUAAACCUUCGAUCCUAAGUUCUACUUCUGGUAAAGAACUCGACAACCUUUUCCGUUACUCCGUUGGGUCUGUAUCGCUUUCGCCUUGAACCCUAUCCUCUUUCUCGUGUCAACCACCCUGUAUCUACAGAAUUCAAUUGACAUCAACUCCUCCUAACGAUCCGUAACGAGAGUACAACGAAUCUUAACAUGGCUCUAAGUUUUAGAAGACGCAACGCGGAAGUCUUAUAACGAAAACACUCAUAAGGACACUAGAACCUGGAGUGCUCUGAUACCAACUGUGAUACCCCCGAAUUUUCGGAUGUGGAUUGGCCAGGCCCACGCCCGAUUACCCGAGGAUAUCAAACAAAAUUAGUAAUAAACGAACACAGAAUACAGAUAAGAUAAACAAGAAUAAAUAAAACUGCUGAAAAGAAACUAGAAUGAUAAUCCAAGACUGAAAACCUCAAAAUAAAAUUUUAUAAAUAAAGUAUUAAUCUGAUACAUCCAACUUUUUCAAUUCCAAUACAACUCGAGAAUCCAUCUGGUGGACCCCUAAUUAAAACCAACACUGGAAAACGAACAACUGAAAAGAAGUCCACUGCUAAACCAUGAAGAAACCUCCUACGUCGUCGGUAGAAUGAGUAGUAGUCUCUGUUUAGCAUGAACAAGCUCUAAGACCUGGAACCGUCUGUUACCUGAAAAUAAUAGUGGGUCAGGCCCACGAACAAGUUCUAUCCUAACUACAAUCCAAACAGAGACCCAAUACGCAGAUACAUCCUAGAUGUCCCAACCAUAUCUAUAUUAUCCGUAAUAGAUAAAUAUAUAUCCACAUUACAGGACUCUCACUAAACUAUGCUGAGAGUCUCAACCUGAAUAGAAGGCAACAUGCAAUACGCACCUGAGUGGGCAUGACUACUUAAGCUUAACAUGGUAUACCUCAACCAACAUAGCUAACUACACAUCCUACUGCAUAUAUGCUCCCUAACCGUCGACUAUGAGACUCAAGCUCAUGUCAUGGUACCAUAACAAUAUAUAUAAAAUCCGUUCACAUUCAUCCAUAAAAAAUCCAGUAAGUCGUUCAGCGUAUUCAACUGCACCGACUCAUAUAUAUAAGGAGGAUUUUAUUUAACAACCCGUACCCUUAUUCCAAAAUAGGUAGGACUGAGUAUUUUGAAUCAAUCUGUCCCUAGUAUGCCACCGUCCCAUACCGGUGCAUACAAUCCACAAAAUCCAUAUAAUUGAUUGAACAGGUAAAACUGUUCACCAAUUAAAAUCCAUAAGGUAGGAAUUAGCGUUUUGAGCUAAACCAUACCUAGUAUGUCACCAUCCCAUACCCGUGCAUCCAAUCCUCCAUAUCCGUGUAAAUUACAACAAUUACAUAAUAGUUUAGCAAUUUAUAGUCCAUAACCAUUCCAAAUAAUUGCAGAAGAGUAUUUAGUAUUUCAGCAAUUUAAAUCCAAAACCAUGUAAAUUUCAACCGAUAUAUAAUAGUUUAAUAAUUUAUAAUCCAAAACCAAAAUCCAAAUAAUUGCAGAAACAUAUUUAAAGUUUUAGCAAUUUAAAUCCAAGAGUUAAACCAUAUAGUUGCAGGAAACAAUUAAUAAUUCAGCAACUACCGUCAAGAGCAUGCAUAGAUCAAAUCUAAUACAUCAAUGACUCUAUCAUGCAUUUAAAAUAAAUUCUAUAAUUAUAUUAUAGUCCAAUAAAUCGGUACAUUAAUUUAAGUAAUUUAAUUCCUUCCAUCCGGUAACAGCGUACUAAGUUGUAUACUUGUAUUCUGUCCUAUGUUUUAGCAAAGAGCCAUGCACUAUGCCCCAAGUCCAAUUUAUUAAUUUAAAAGACUUCACUGUGCUUUUAAACUUAAUUUAGAAUCAUUAUAUAGCACCCUAAAUUGUCAAAUUAAAACUAGACAAUAAACUUCCUUCCAACCGUUAACUGCAUGCAAAGUUGCUAAUUAGCGCACUGUUAAUUCCAUUCACUUAGAGGUCAACCUUACUCAAUUUAAAGAUUUAAUAACACCCUAAAACAACCUUAUAAUCCCUCUGUAAAACCCCAGAGUCAACAAAAUAGUUUCCACGCUGCAACAGUAACAAUACAGUUCGUAAAAAAUAAAAUUCUGAAAACACUAUUGAAAAGAACCUUCUCCAAAAAACUGGAGAAGGCUCUAAACCGCCUAGAGCCUUCUCUAAAAAACUAAAGAAGGCUCUAAACCACCUAGAGCAGGUUCCACAUUUAAGAGCAUUCUCUUUCUUCCUUUGAGUCUUCUCCUUUGCUUCCUAUUCCACUUGCAUAAUUGCAUCUCUUAUGCACUGAAAGCUUAUAACAAUACCUAGGUUGCAUGUUAAUCAUCUUAGUCUACUUCCCACACAGGUCCAGAUUCAAGAAUCAUCCACACAGUGCACCCAAAAAAACCCACAAUCAAACCAAACAACUAGGGAUGGCAAUUUGACCCGCCCCCGCGGUUAUCCGCCCCCGCCCGCCCCGUUUUUGACUAUUUUGGGGGACCGUUUAACUAAUUUGGGCGGGGAUGGUUUUAUAUAACAAAAACCCGCGCGGGUUUGGUGCGGGGGCGGGGGGGAGGUCGUCCCGCCCCGCCCCGCACCGUUUCAAUAUGAAAAUUACUUAACUACCCUUAUUUAAUUAUUAUAUAUAUUUCCUAUUAGAAACCCUACGUUUUCUUAAUUCUCUCAUUCACAUCAUUACUGUCAGCAGCGCCUGCUUGUCACCCAAUAGGUAAUUAAUUAUCCAUCACCCAAUAGGUAAUUAAUUAUCCUUACCUGUCACCCAAUAGGUAAUUAAUUAUCCUUAUUUUAUUUAGUAUAUAUACUCGCAUUAGAAACCCUAGACUUCACAAGUCAUAACUCUCGAUUACUCUUCAAUCUUCUUCACUAUCAGCGGCGUGUCACUGUUAACCUGAUCUUUAGGGGUAAGUUAUCUCCCUUUUCCUCUUCUAUAUUUCUAAUUCCUCUGUGCUUUUAUAUUCACUCUGCCUUAUAGAAUGAAGAAUCUAUUGAAAUACAUGUAUAAUAUAUUCUAUAUGUGUAUCAUAUAUAGAAUAAUAUAUUCUAUAUAUGUAUAAUAUAUUACAUGUAUAUAUAGAAUAUAUUACCAACAAGCUUCAUCCGUACACAUCAUGGAUUCCAAUAACGUGUGUAUAUUCUUACUUUGUUUUUACUUUAUAUUAUCAAUUUUGUUAUUUAAUUUUUUAGAUAUAUAUAUAUAUAUAUAUAUAUUUUUCUGUAAAUGAUACGUAUUUUUUAUAAUAUUAUUUUUAUAUUUUUAUCUGAGAAUUUUCUUGAGGAGUCUACAAUUGUGACAUGUUGGGCAUUUAAUUUUGAUUUCAGUGUAUACAUAUGCUUCAGGAAUUUCACUUAGGAGCUUCAGAAUUUGUCAUUGACUCUCUUUGCAAAGGUAGAACUCUAGUGAAUCUGAAAGUGCGCUGAAAGGUUCAAAGCAAAACCAACCAAUUCUUCAAGUGAGGAAUAGUAUAAGUAAAUUGAAAGAUGUCACAGGGUGAUAAAAGAAAGAUUGUAGAUUUAUCAUCAAAUGAUAACUCAUCUCCAAUUCCUAAUUCUACUCCAAUAACAGAUUCUGCUCCAAUGACAUAUACAAAUCCAGUUGAUGAAUCAGGUCCUGAAGCAACUUCGCCCAAGCAAAAAAAAAUUAACAUCAGCUGUGUGGAAUGAUUUUAAGAAGAUAAAGAUAAAUGGGAUAGAGUUUCGUGUUUGCAACCAUUGCACUUCAAAGUUGAAAGCACCUAGUAGGAAUGGAAUAAGUAGCUUGGGCGACCACUUAAAAAGGUGCAAGAAAGUUGGAAACAAGGAUAUGAGACAGUUUGUUUUGUAACAAAAUCUGAAAAAGAUGGAUGGACAGUUGGAAUGUCUUACUUCUCUAUUUGAUAAACAAGCUGCAAAAGUUACACGUGAUGAGCUUGCGGGGAUGAUCAUAGUGCAUGAGUAUCCACUCUCUAUUGUUGAACAUUCCCACUUUCGAAGAUUUGUUAAUGCCCUUCAACCCAUGUUUAAAAUGGUUUCUCGAAAUACAAUCAAAAGGGACAUCUUAAGUAUUUAUGAAUCUGAGAAAGCUAAAACGUUGUGGUUGUUGGAGGCCCUUGGGAGUAGAGUUGCCAUCACUUCUGAUAUGUGGACUUGCAAUCAUUUGAAGAAAGGUUUCAUGGAAAUAACAGCCCACUUUAUUGAUGAUUCUUGGGAGUUGCAACAAAGAAUUUUGAGGUUUUUGUAUGUUCCUGCUCCACAUAAUAAGGAAGUCAUUUCUAAAGUUCUUAUGGAUACUUUUUAUGAUUGGAAUAUAGAUAGGAAGUUAUCCACAAUUACUUUGGAUAAUUGCACCACAAAUGAUGCUAUCAUCAGUUGUCUUUUAGACAAGCUUGAUUCUAAUGCACUUUUACUUGAGGGAAGCUUUUUUCAUAUGAGAUGUUGUGCACACAUCUUAAACUUGAUUGUUAAAGAUGGGUUGGAAGUAAUUGGGGAUGGGACAGAAAGAAUACAUGAUAGUGUUUGUUUUUUGGACAGCAACACCAAGUAGAAUUGAAAAAUUUAAAGAAGCUGCUCACCAAUUAAAGAUCCCAUAUACUAAAAAGUUAACUCUUGAUUAUAAAACUCGUUGGAACUCAACAUAUCUUAUGUUUGAAGUUGCUUUGCAUUAUAAAGAUGUGUUCCCAUGAUUAAAACAACGUGAGAGACUUUACACUAGAUUGCCAACUAAUGAAGAUUGGGAAAGGGGAAAAGAAAUUUGUGAAAAUUUGUAUUUGUUUUACACUACCACAGAAUUGUUUUCUGGUACUCAAUAUCCUACUUCCAAUUGUGAUUUUCAUAAAAUUUGUUUAAUUAGAGAGGAAUUGUCUCUUUGGCUUCAAAGUCCUAAUGAGAUCAUUAAAGUGAUGGCAUCAAAAAUGAUGGAUAAAAUUUUGAAAUAUUGGAACGUUUGUCAUGUGGUGAUGGCAGUGGCUGUGGUUUUAGAUCCACGAUAUAAGAUGAAACUAGUAGAAUAUCAUUUUGGAGAGAUAUAUGGAGAUGAAGCUUCUAGUGAAAUUCAAAAAGUUCGUCAAAAUGUUUAUGACUUGUUUUGUGCAUAUCAAGUCAAUACAAUGACAGAUGGAAAUAUGGAUGUUGAUGUUGCUUCUACUUCAAGUCAAGCUACUAAUUUGUCUGAGGAUGCAAGUCUGUCUAAGUUUGAUAGGUAUCUCAACUCGAGUGUGACUAAUUUUCAUACAAGGACUGAGUUGGAGUUUUACUUGGAAGAGAGUGUGCUGCCUAGAACCCCAAAUUUUAAUGUCUUGACUUGGUGGGGUUCGAAUGGAGUUAAGUUUCCUACUUUGCAGAAGAUUGCUCGUGAUAUUUUAGCUAUUCCCGUGUCUACCGUUGUAUCAGAAUCUACUUUUAGCACUGGCGGUAGAAUGGUUAGUCCACAUCGGAGUAGACUUCAUCCAUCUACUUUGAUGGCUUUGAUGUGUGCUCAGAAUUGGUUAUUGUGUGAAGACAUGGAUGGUAAAUUGAUUAUAUUAAAAUUCUUUAAUUUAUUAUUUUCUAAUGCAUUAGUUAUCUUACACUUUUGUUUUAUUUUUAGGAACUGAUUCAAUAUUUGAUCCAUGCAAACUCAGCAUAUAUUCUGAUAAUUAUAAUGAUGAUAAUGAAUGUGUUCCUGAGGUUUGCCAAGAUUAAUCAUCAGCAUAUGAUUCUUUUGGGGAUGUUAAAGAAAUUAUGCAACUAUGGAGACAUUGAAGAAACUUAUGAGAAGCUUGUUUUGAAAUCUAAAUUUUCUGAUAACUUAUUGCCACUAUGUAAUGAAUUAUCUUUUUUUUUUUUUUUUCUUUUUUUAAUUAAAACUCUUUUGGAAGCCAAAUUGGAACGAUGUAAUUUGACUUAUCUGGUUUUGGUAUGUUAUCUUUUAUGAAA